rnacentral:rRNA from 1 species
UAAGGAAUAUUGGUCAAUGGGCGAGAGCCUGAACCAGCCAAGUCGCGUGAAGGAAGACAGUCCUAAGGAUUGUAAACUUCUUUUAUACGGGAAUAACGGGCGAUACGAGUAUUGCAUUGAAUGUACCGUAAGAAUAAGCAUCGGCUAACUCCGUGCCAGCAGCCGCGGUAAUACGGAGGAUGCGAGCGUUAUCCGGAUUUAUUGGGUUUAAAGGGUGCGUAGGUUGUUCGGUAAGUCAGCGGUGAAACCUGAGCGCUCAACGUUCAGCCUGCCGUUGAAACUGCCGGGCUUGAGUUCAGUGGCGGCAGGCGGAAUUCGUGGUGUAGCGGUGAAAUGCAUAGAUAUCACGAGGAACUCCGAUUGCGAAGGCAGCUUGCCAUACUGCGACUGACACUGAAGCACGAAGGCGUGGGUAUCAAACAGG